CAGACUCUGUGCGCACGCGCAGAAUCCCAGACCCGGAAGCAGCUCAGGGCUGGGCAUGGCGGCGGCAGCUGAGGGCGUCCCUGCGCUGCGACGGGAGGAGCCGGCUAGAGACGAUGCCGCCGUGGAGACAGCCGAGGAAGCAAAGGAGCCCGCCGAGGCUGACAUCACUGAGCUCUGCCGGGACAUGUUCUCCAAAAUGGCCACGUACCUGACUGGGGAACUGACGGCCACCAGUGAAGACUAUAAGCUCCUGGAAAACAUGAAUAAAUUAACCAGCUUGAAGUAUCUUGAAAUGAAAGAUAUUGCUAUAAACAUUAGUAGAAACUUAAAGGACUUAAACCAGAAGUACGCUGGAUUACAGCCUUACCUCGAUCAGAUCAACGUAAUUGAGGAGCAGGUAGCAGCUCUUGAACAGGCAGCCUACAAGCUGGAUGCAUAUUCAAAAAAACUGGUUACUUUCCUGGAGUGAGAUGUAAGGAUAAGAGCAUAAAAGGGGAAACAUACAUCUAUGCAUCCUGAGUAUUCCAGGCUGAUUUCAGAAGGCACCUGGGAUUGCCAAGGAGUUUCUGGUGUUUAGUAAGACUCCAGAAGCCAAGUAUAAGAAGCUGGAAAAGCGGUGAAAAACUGAAUUUUGUAACAUAAAGCCCUCUUAAAUGUGGAAGAAUGUUUUAUAGCAACUGAAUCCUGAGGCUGAUGAAAUGUCAAAAUUCCUCAAAAGGAAACUUUGCUGGUCACCCCAGGAACAUCCCAAUGUUGAAUAAACUCAAAGACUGUGGAUACUCCUGGACCUUCUUUGAGGCAAUAUCUGCCAGAAAUUCACACUUGCAACUCCUUUCUUGUUACUUGAACGCUUCAGCAUCCAUUCAAGACAGACACUCUCUCAAAGUUCAGGAUAAACCUGCGCUUAUCAGUAGAAUUGAAUGAGAGGACCUAUUUUCUCUGGCAGUGGUUGAUUAUUAUUUUCUUAAAUGGCUGGUUUUUGAGUUACUGUGUAAAUGGUUGGGUUUUUUUUAUUAGCAAUGCUAAUGUUAUUAACAAGAGUCUAAAUUAAAAAAGGAAAACAAAACAAA